GGGAGCAAGCUCGCCGUGCUUCCCCUGCCCCCGAAGGGAAGGCGACAUUGGCCUCA
rnacentral:RNase_MRP_RNA from 1 species